ACAACUGUCAGGUUUACUCUAUCCAAAUUGCAUGUUUUCCAGUUUACAUUUUAGACUCCACAUUUUCUUGACGUCCUGGAAGUCAGUCAUGUCAUUUCUAAGGCUUACUCCCAGCUUUCUUAUUCACCGAGGAAUUUGGCUCAUGACUAAAGAGGAGAAAGGAUCCCGGUUGUCCUCAGUUUGCAAUUUUACUCGGUCACCAAUAUGCUGGAAUUCAAAUAUUUGAAAGAGAUAGGGAUACAUGAUGUGGUUUAGAACAAUGGUAGGUUGUGAACAUGAG